ACGUCAAGAAGAGCUGCUCUCAUUACCUGUGUCACAGGAAAAUGAAAGCCUUGUUUGAUUGCUUAAGUAAUCCAGGAGAACACGUAACUCAUCAUUUUCAGGAAGGUGGUCAGUGAAGAGAAGAGGAAGAGAGUAGAAGCUUCUUUUAGGAUGGAGGAGAAGAAGACAGUUGGAGUGGGACAAGUCCCAUUUGAUGGUGUGUGGUCGCUACAGCAGCAGGAGGGGCUCUUGACCAGACGGGUGAGAGAGUGCAGAGCUUUGUGCAUAGCAGUGCAGACAAGUCGUGCAAUAGGGUGUGGUCAAAACGACCAAGAAACAGGAUUGCGUGUCAUGUGGGUGCUUCAUCUUGAGGAAGCUGGAAAUCCUAAAACAUCCUUCAAUUUUCCAGAGGACUUGAGAUGUCUGUCCUUUUUGAGAUGGACAGGUUCCCCUGAGAGCUGUCUCACUGUGGUCUACAAAGGGGGCACAGCAAAGAUGGACUUGGGAGUUUCUGUAGCUCUGCCGGCCAAACUCCAGCCAGGGGGAAGCCCAUGGAAACUUGCUGGCAGUCCCAGCCUCUUAGACUGAUCCCCUGGGAGCCUCCCAGACUUUUUAAAGGGCGAGUUUGAGGAGAAGAAAGACAUGUCACUCCAAAUUAGGCCACCAGUUUCUCUGCUAGUUCACUGCAACACUUUGUACAUUUCCAGGUCAUCUCUUACAUACGCUGGAGAUGUGUGAUGGAGCUUGAUGCUAAUUAGCAGGCUAGAUCUGUGAUGUUUUUAUUAAGUUGGGUCACAAAGUGUUCAAUCAGGCUUUAACUGGUCACUGUACUGCUCAGUAUAACACUCUGUUCAUUUGUGUGAGUAAAUAGAAGUAAGAGCCAUUGAACUCAAGGAGGUAUAGCAUUCUAUUGAGGCUUGAGUCUUAGCAGGUGGUACCUUGGUGGAGAAGUGAUUUCAUUCUUAGAACUUUUAAAGGAAGUUUCUGGGAGAGUCACCUCUUGGGUGGAGGUUGGGUUUGAUCUCAAGGACUUUGUGUUUGAGUUUAUAGGACUCUGCCUAAGCAAACAUAGAGCUGUCUAGCCUAAGUGGUGUUCUUUGAUGCACACUGGGACUUUCUUGAUCAGUUAUUAAAUGUAAUUCAUUGUUAUA
rnacentral:lncRNA from 1 species